ensembl:lncRNA
CCUUCAGAGUAUAGGAGCUCACACCGAGGACAGACUUGGACCUUGUCCUCGUCCCAUGGCUCAGAAAACUCUUCUGUAUUACAGGUGGACAAACCAUUUGAUAGUUCCUCUGGUGAUCUAUGGCUGAUAAAAUUAAACAGAGUGUUCUUUGCUUGGAAACCAAGGAGUUCAAAACAGAGCAGAUCUUCCUGACAAAGACUGAACAAACCUCAUGAAAUCUUGGAGCCUUUUGCCCUCCUCAUGUCCUGGGUCUAUUCUCACAGGGGGCAUGGAACUGUGUACAAAUUCGGAGAUUUUGAGAGUUAUUGGCUUCCAUUUUGGAUUUUAAGGUUGUGCUGGGCUCCAGACACUGGUCUUGGUUUUUAAGGGUGUUAGUAUCCCUAUUCUUGGCACCUGGCUUCAUGGGAAUGUUUGUGGAACCUAAAUGCCCUAUUAGUGGGACCGCUUCCUACCACCCUUAACCAUAUUGUCUAAUCAAGAUUAGCUCUUAGUAAACAUUUAUUACUGGAUGACAUAUGCUUAACUUCCUGGCUCUUAAACCAGGGGGUGUGCAUAGUGACACAGCACCCGCUAUGGCCUCUUCUUUCACGGUAGUCUGCUGGGAGGGUGCUCCCACCGUUGGCAUGGCAUGCAGUGAUCACAGUGAGAAGUAGCUCCUGAGUGCUGAUUUUCAGUACCCUAUGACAUGAGCUAUUUUCUCAGAACAUCAUCCAAGCAAGUCGUAAGUCCCAGCCCACAGCUGUGUGUCUAUUUUCACCUACUGUCUUUGCUUUGUGGAAGCCUUCAGAGCAGGCCAUGUGUUCUUCUGGCUCCUUUCUCAUAACCUUGCUACUUUAAGAAAUAAGCUUAUUAACUCCUAGGGGUUUUUUUUUUUUUUACUCUAUUUAACCAAAAUACAAACAUAUCUCUUCAAUUAUAUUUGUCCAAUUGUCCUUUGUGGAAAAUUAGGUUACUUUUUUGUUUGCUUAUCUUUGGGAAGAACCAUCAUGUAGGAAGGAUACUAAAUAUUCUUCUGUGGAGGAAGAUUCCAGCAGAUAAAGCUAUUCUCCUUUCUAUUGGUCUUUUCUGUGUUACUGUAAUGAAGUGCCCAAAGUAGCUGCUUUAUAAAGAAAAGAGGUUUAUUUUAGCUUACAGUUCUAGAGGUCUAAGGUUGAGUGCCACAUCUAGUAAUAUCCUUUUGUUGGCAAUAUCCUGAUGUGGUACAGGACAUUAUGUGGCAAGAGACAGGGAAUGUCCGUGUGUGCGUGCGUGUAGGCAUCCAUGCAUGCACGUGCCCACGCGUGUGUGUGUGUGUGUGUUGCCUCUGGUCUCUCUACUUAUAAAGCCAGCAGUAUUCAGUCAUGGAGUCUCCUCCUUGGUGAUUUAUGUAAUCCUAACCUCCUCCCGAAGGCCCCACCUCUAACACCACAGUCAGAUUAAGAUUCCACCCUCUUAAUACAGUGGGGAUGAAACUUCAGUAUGAGUUUCACAGGAGACUAACCAUAUGUAAACUGUACUAACCUUUUUCCUAAAAUCAAUCCUAGAGAAAGGGUGACUAUGGGCACUCCCCUCCUCUCUCUCUCUCUCUCUUUCUUUCUUUCUUUCUUUCUUUCUUUCUUUCUUGAUAUUGAACCUAUGGCCUUUCACAAGGUUAGCAUGUAUCCUGCCACUGAGGUACACCCCCAACCCUUUUAAUUUUUUUGAGACAGGACUUUUUUGAGACUAAGUUGCCCACCCUGGCCGGCCUUGAACUUGUAAUCCUCCUGCCUCAGCCUCCUGAGUAGCUGUGAUUAUAAGCAUGCAUCACUGCCCCUGGCUGAUAUGGUGCUUCUUAAGACACUAGGGCAGUGAGAGACCUUCUAAUACAUACUGUAUACAUUUGGGUAGGUAGCAAAGCUAACUUUUAGACAUUUUAAAUAAUUAUUAAGACCACCCUUCUGCUGAUGUAUGCCAAUAUUUUGCACUCGAAUACAGCUUUUUCUUAUUUUCUAAGUAUGUAUCUGUUAUCUCUUUAUCAAUGAAGUUAGUAAGAACUGUUUUUAUAACCUUGCUCAGUUUUUACCCUGAGACAAUAUUAUUGUACCUAGACAUCUUUUAAAAUAACUACUUUGCUCCUGCACUUUAUGUGUGUGUGUGUGUGUGGGGGUAUUUAAUUUGGAAAAAGAUUUAGAUUUACAAAGUGUCAUUAAGAUAAUACAGAGAGAUUCCUGUGUUCUCCACUCGGUGAGAUUUUUGUCCCUUUACUACUCCCAAGGAUAUCUGAAAAUGUCUGGAGGCAUUUUUUAGUUUUUCCCAAUGGGAUGUGCUGCUGACGUUGAAUAAAUUUAAAGAACAGUAGGUCCUUGACUUUACAAACAUUCGAGUUGCAGACUUCCACAGGUGUACUAUAGAAGACUCACUUUGUUGGCUGAUGAAUGAAUCCAACUUCUGAACAAUUCUCCCAGAUCGGAACUCGUUCAUAAGUCGGGGACUUAUUGAACUUGAAUUCCUGCUGAGAGGUAGUGUGGUUCCAUGGCAAUGGGGACAGAGGUGAGCAUUUCGGGGCACAGGUGUGUUGAUGGAAUUGUCUGCAUCCGUCUACUGCUUUAUUUUCCAUUAUAGGACUUGUAUUCAUUUACUUGUUUAUCUUUGUCUCCAUCCCCUUAGAAAGCAAACUCCACGAGGAAGGGAAUUUGCUUUGCUUAUGUUGUAUUCUUUGGCUCUCUAAUGGGGAUUACCCUGAAAGUCGUGCUGGAAGGGUCAUGUGAAGAUGCUUCAGACGGGAAGAACCACACAGGCCAAGUAUCCAAAUGACACAACACCUGGCUUCUGGCCUCCUCUAGGGUGUCCAGAACACUAUUUUGAAUUUGUUUAAUUCAGAUCUCUGCUGUGAUGAAGAGCACUGCUGCUGUCUGUGUGCACAGCAAUUGCUGGUAGCCACACUCUGCUCUAGGAAACACUUUGCAGAUGCUGCCAUAGAGUAGCUGGCCCUAUUGGCGCCCACAGCACUGCUUGGGGCUCCAAUUCCAUGCACCUUUACCAGCACCCGGAAUUAUUUAACUUUUAAAUUUUUGCCAAAUUUGAAAGAUUUACAAUUGUUCUGUUUUGUUUUGUUUUCUGGGUACCGGGGAUCGAACUCAGGACCUUGCGCUUUUGAGGCAGGCGACGGAAACACUGAGCUAAAUCCCCAGCCCUUACAAUUCAUUUUUAACAAUUUG